AGCGUAGACGGAGUGGCAAGUCUGAUGUGAAAACCCGGGGCUCAACCCCGGGACUGCAUUGGAAACUGUCAAUCUAGGGUACCGGAGAGGUAAGCGGAAUUCCUAGUGUAGCGGUGAAAUGCGUAGAUAUUAGGAGGAACACCAGUGGCGAAGGCGGCUUACUGGACGGUAACUGACGUUGAGGCUCGAAAGCGUGGGGAGCAAACA
rnacentral:rRNA from 1 species